ACCCGCUGAACUUAAGCAUAUCAAUAAGCGGAGGAAAAGAAACCAACAGGGAUUGCCUCAGUAACGGCGAGUGAAGCGGCAACAGCUCAAAUUUGAAAUCUGGCCCUCGGGUCCGAGUUGUAAUUUGUAGAGGGUGCUUUGGCGUUGGCUGUGGUCUAAGUUCCUUGGAACAGGACGUCGCAGAGGGUGAGAAUCCCGUAUGUGGCCGCCAGUCUUCGCCGUGUAAAGCCCCUUCGACGAGUCGAGUUGUUUGGGAAUGCAGCUCUAAAUGGGAGGUAAAUUUCUUCUAAAGCUAAAUAUCUGCCAGAGACCGAUAGCGCACAAGUAGAGUGAUCGAAAGAUGAAAAGCACUUUGGAAAGAGAGUCAAAAAGCACGUGAAAUUGUUGAAAGGGAAGCGCUUGCAGUUAGACAUGCCGUCAGUUGCUCAGCCGGGCUCUUUGCCCGGUGCACUCUUCUGUCGGCAGGCCAGCAUCAGUCUGGGCGGUUGGAUAAAGGCCUAUUAAACGUGACUCCCUCCGGGGAGAGCUUAUAGGGUAGGCGUCAUGCAACCAGCCUGGACUGAGGUCCGCGCAUCUGCUAGGAUGCUGGCGUAAUAGCUGUAAGCGGCCCGUCUUGAAACACGG
rnacentral:rRNA from 1 species